rnacentral:misc_RNA from 1 species
CAAGCCGCGGGCGGCUCGGCAGUUUAGGGGAAGACAAAAUUGAAAAGCCUACAACAGAUGAACCAGCAGGACAACCGAUGCCACUACAGUUCAUAAAAAGGUUAAGUGAAGGCGCUCCUUGGCCUCCCAAUCAUGCCUUCCGGGCUGGCAUGCUGUCGGCGUCGACCCCGCGAGAAGCCACCCAAAUCUACUCCCUCAUGCCUAUUCAAUAGAGGAAUCCACCAGAACUUAGUCAUUGCCCAAAGCCAUGGCUGAAGAGUUGCAGAAGCACAAACCCAAACUAGAUCUGGAGAAGAACACAACUAUGAAAGUUAACCUGCAAUAACAUCACACAACCACAAGAAACAAGAACACAGAGCAUAAUUAGAGCUCAACAAAACAAUCAUACAAAAUUCCCUCAACGUUUAGAUCUCGGCUGUCCACAAAACCAAACCAAAAUUAUCU